rnacentral:rRNA from 1 species
CAGCCGCCACGGGAAUACGUAGGGUGCGAGCGUUAAUCGGAAUUGCUGGGCGUAAAGCGUGCGCAGGCGGUUAUAUAAGUCAGAUGUGAAAUCCCCGGGCUCAACCUGGGAACUGCAUUUGAGACUGUAUGGCUAGAGUGUGUCGGAGGGGGGUAGAAUUCCACGUGUAGCAGUGAAAUGCGUAGAUAUGUGGAGGAAUACCGAUGGCGAAGGCAGCCCCCUGGGAUAACACUGACGCUCAUGCACGAAAGCGUGGGGAGCAAACAGGAUUAGAUACCCCGGUAGUCCCUGUCUCUUAUAC